GAUGAACGCUGGCGGCGUGCUUAACACAUGCAAGUCGAACGAUGAAGCCCAGCUUGCUGGGUGGAUUAGUGGCGAACGGGUGAGUAACACGUGAGUAACCUGCCCUUAACUCUGGGAUACGACUGGGAAACUGGGACUAAUACCGGAUAGGAGCGCCUACCGCAUGGUGGGUGUUGGAAAGAUUUAUCGGUUUUGGAUGGACUCGCGGCCUAUCAGCUGGUUGGUGAGGAAAUGGCUCACCAAGGCGACGACGGGUAGCCGGCCUGAGAGGGUGACCGGCCACACUGGGACUGAUACACGGCCCAGACUCCUACGGGAGGCAGCAGUGGGGAAUAUUGCACAAUGGGCGAAAGCCUGAUGCAGCGGCGCCGCGUGAGGGAUGACGGCCUUCGGGUUGUAAACCUCUUUCAGUAGGGAAGAAGCGAAAGUGACGGUACCUGCAGAAGAAGCACCGGCUAACUACGUG
rnacentral:rRNA from 1 species